UACGGGGGGGGGCUAGCGUUAUUCGGAAUCAUUGGGCGUAAAGAGCGUGUAGGCGGCCCGGUAAGUCCGCUGUGAAAGUCCAGGGCUCAACCCUGGAAUGCCGGUGGAAACUGUCGGGCUAGAGUCCGGAAGAGGCGAGUGGAAUUCCUGGUGUAGCGGUGAAAUGCGCAGAUAUCAGGAGGAACACCAAUGGCGAAGGCAGCUCGCUGGGACGGUACUGACGCUGAGACGCGAAAGCGUGGGGAGCAAACAGG
rnacentral:rRNA from 1 species